rnacentral:rRNA from 2 species
UAGAUGGUGGGGGUAACGGCUCACCAUGGCAAUGAUAACGUAGCCGACCUGAGAGGGUAAUCGGCCACAUUGGGACUGAGACACGGCCCAAACUCCUACGGGAGGCAGCAGUAGGGAAUCUUCCACAAUGGACGAAAGUCUGAUGGAGCAACGCCGCGUGAGUGAAGAAGGGUUUCGGCUCGUAAAACUCUGUUGUUAAAGAAGAACAUAUCUGAGAGUAACUGUUCAGGUAUUGACGGUAUUUAACCAGAAAGCCACGGCUAACUACGUGCCAGCAGCCGCGGUAAUACGUAGGUGGCAAGCGUUGUCCGGAUUUAUUGGGCGUAAAGCGAGCGCAGGCGGUUUUUUAAGUCUGAUGUGAAAGCCUUCGGCUCAACCGAAGAAGUGCAUCGGAAACUGGGAAACUUGAGUGCAGAAGAGGACAGUGGAACUCCAUGUGUAGCGGUGAAAUGCGUAGAUAUAUGGAAGAACACCAGUGGCGAAGGCGGCUGUCUGGUCUGUAACUGACGCUGAGGCUCGAAAGUAUGGGUAGCAAACAGGAUUAGAUACCCUGGUAGUCCAUACCGUAAACGAUGAAUGCUAAGUGUUGGAGGGUUUCCGCCCUUCAGUGCUGCAGCUAACGCAUUAAGCAUUCCGCCUGGGGAGUACGGCCGCAAGGCUGAAACUCAAAGGAAUUGACGGGGGCCCGCACAAGCGGUGGAGCAUGUGGUUUAAUUCGAAGCUACGCGAAGAACCUUACCAGGUCUUGACAUACUAUGCAAAUCUAAGAGAUUAGACGUUCCCUUUCGGGGACAUGGAUACAGGUGGUGCAUGGUUGUCGUCAGCUCGUGUCGUGAGAUGUUGGGGUUAAGUCCCGCAACGAGCGCAACCCUUAUUAUCAGUUGCCAGCAUUAAGUUGGGCACCUCUGGUGAAGACUGCCGGUGACAAACCGGGAGGAAAGGGUGGGGAAUGAACGU